CCGCGAUAGAGGGUCACUUUCUCGCGAGACUUGCAUCCGCGACGGAUGUCUCUUCGGAAACCGGUUUCUAAAAAUGAAGAACUAGGUUCCAAACGAAGGGAAAGCAAAGUGGUUUUAAAUUACAGGUAGCUGCUGAAGAUUUGGUGGCAGCAGUGGGAUCCGAAGCAAACCUCCAUCAAAAUUCAGGGACAAUGAAAAACAGAAGCAUGGUGCUCUAUGAACCUUGUUGAAUUCACUGUCUUUCUCGCUGUUUCCAAAUGUCGUUGGUUAUAGAAGACUUUAUGGAUCCCAACUCAGAGGAACCUGUUGGGCACAGUCUAAAGCCUGGUGACUGGGUAUUCUGGAAACAUUAUCAAAGGAAGACAGUUCUUGAGCUCAGCUAAAAGGGACCUUACCAAGUUCUCCUAACCACUGAUACUGUUGUGAAACUAUAAGACACUGGAGACCUCUGAAUCACAUUGACAAGGAGGAGAAGUAGGUGACAUCAAGCUUGGAAAGAAGUCCAUGGUGAAUGAGGAAGAAUAUGCUGUUAAUGCUCUAAGCCGUAAUCAAUUAAAGACCCACUUGUGAAGGAGCCAUUGUUUGCAGUUCCAUUCAGUUGCUGAGUUGUCUUUUAGGCUGCCCAUGCGGAAACCCUGGUAAGGUGAUGAGAAAGUUCAAAGCACCUAACUUUGCAAUGUGGAUUUUGUUAUUGAAACUUCUCUUUAUCUUUUUAGUCAUUUAAAAAAAUGUAGUAUAUGUAGUGUAUAUGUUCAUUGGUAAUUUCAAGAAAGAGAAGGGACUUAACAUAACAAAGGAUGAAAAUGAUCUCAUGACAUAAUUCUCUGCAACUAUUAGAUUACAAUGCCUUAUGAAUUAGUUCAAGAGGAAUCAAUGUUGAAAAUGUUUGCUAAGAAAAUAAAUAAUAUUACUUCUUCAUAAGUCUGUUGAUAGAAAGUGAGAGUGCUUUCUUCAACAUUCAGUCGUUAUUUUUGGCAUGACUGCCAUUUUGUUUUUGUUCUCAACUCUCCCUACUUCUCUAAUUUCAACUAGACAGUAGUAUUACCACUGAAGUGUAGUCAGUAUUUAGUCUUGAUUGCCAGAUUUGGGAGACUGUUGGAACUUUGCUAAAGAGGCAGAUAUAAAAAUAUUUCAGAUAGAAUUUGGCAUAAAUGAUUUAAAGACUUAAGAUAAAAAUGAAUUAAUAUUAAAUAUUUAAUGCUAUUGAUAUAUAUAGAACUAGAGGGAGUAAACAAAUAAUAUAGUAAUAAAAGUUACUUAAUGCAUGAAAGUAAAUCCUCAUAGAGCAAGCCUAAGGACUAAAAAAGAAAUUACAUAAUGUUAUUCUUAGAACCUCACCUUGUUAGAGUAGGAAUCUAGCUUUUGGGUCACCCUUAAUCUUUUGCUUUCUAGGCAAAAAUGGGCCAAAUUUCUUCCCUGACUACCUAAAAAAUAACCUGUCAUAGGCCUAGGGGAAGUCACAUUCAACUAUAGUCAUAUUCAAGUCAAAUAUAAAAGAUUUUGGAAUGGAAAUAUAGGAAUGAAGUGAUCCAACAAGAAUGUUUUCUUUCCUAAGAUUUCCUUUGGUUUUCUAGAUCAAAUAAAGAAAAUAAGCAUUUUAGGAAUACAAUUCAAUAAAACUGCCGAGUCUGUCACUGUUAUACAAAC